rnacentral:misc_RNA from 1 species
UCGCUGAAGAGAGCGAAGUUGCUGCUGGCUUGGGCAAUGCGGUGAAUGGCGCCGAUGAUGCAGCCCUUUUGUACUGAUCGCGGUAAAGUCGUGCGGAAGUGCGGAUAUCUGGUCAUUUCGAAUGGAAUGACAGAUUGCUUGUCGAAAACAGAAAUGAGCCCGACAUCAGUAGAAGAGUCGAUGAGAAAUCCGCCGAAAGUCACUUUGCGG